UGUGCCCCUCUGCGGUUGCGUUUGAAAAUGAAGAUAGAGAUGCCACUUCAACUGGGAGCAUAACUCCAGACUGAGAAUCGUAUUUAUUUUUACAUGGUUGACUUAUCUCAAUGAUUUCAUAACACUUCCUCCUCAUCGGGUGAGAGGGCACCCUUAAACAAUCAAUUAAAGACAGCUUUAAUGCUUUAGUGAAGAAUAUGUCUGGAAAGUGGCCAUGAGGAAAAGAGAGGGAAAAAAAAAAAGGCAAGCACAUACGAACCAUUCCAGCUUCAUUUAGGAACUUUGCAACACACUUCUACAGUCAACAGAAAAAGCAGCUGAAUGCAGCAGUAAAUACAAACAGGAACUGUUGUCUGGAUGAUGGCAUGCAAGAGGGGAAUAGCAGCUGAAGGCUGGAAUCAAUCCACUCGAACACCACAUCAUCAAUCCCCCUGAAAGACUGGCUGAUCCUUGCAGAUAAUGAGCUACUUCAGUUGAGGAAAUACUCUAGCAUCCUGGACCUGUCUAUUGAGCAUUCCACAUACUCCCCGCUGCUCAACACCCACGCGUGGUUAUUUCCAGCGCUCAUUCC